rnacentral:rRNA from 1 species
UACGUAGGGGGCAAGCGUUGUCCGGAUUAUUGGGCGUAAAGAGCGUGUAGGCGGCCAUGUAGGUCCGUUGUGAAAACUCGAGGCUCAACCUCGAGACGCCGAUGGAAACCAUGUGGCUAGAGUCCGGAAGAGGAGAGUGGAAUUCCUGGUGUAGCGGUGAAAUGCGCAGAUAUCAGGAAGAACACCCGUGGCUAAGGCGGCUCUCUAGUACGGUACUGACGCUGAGACGCGAAAGCGUGGGAGCGAACAGG